AGCCAAUCAGGACUUCGAGACAGAACCUUCAGUCAUAGUGGGGCGGGCACUUCCUGUUCGCCAUAUUACCCGCUUUGCUGUGAAUCUGAGGAAAGCAGAUUUGACCAUCUUCCGGGAGCUGAGGGGAGAGCGAGGUGACCUAGGAAUCCGCGUCAUGGCUGCAGUGACCUAUGAGGAUGUGCAUGUGAACUUCUCUCAGGAAGAGUGGGCUUUGCUGGGUCCUUCCCAGAAGAGUCUCUACAGAGAUGUGAUGCUGGAGACCUGCAGGAACCUCACGGCUAUAGGCUACAAAUGGGAAGACCACAAUAUUGAAGAACGUUGUCAAAGUUCUGGAAGAUGUAAAAGGUAUAAUAUCUGUCACUCUGGACCCCAGCCUUAUGAGCAUAAGGGAUAUGGAAAGAAGCAAUGUACCUUUGCAAGUAACAGUGCUCUUCAAACAUAUGGAAGAGUUCAUACUGAAGAGAAAUCCUAUAAAUGUAAUCAGUGCAGUAAACCCUUUGCAGAUUUUAAUAGUCUUCGACAACAUGAAAGAAGUCACAGUAGAAAAAAACUCUAUGAAUGUAAUCACUGUGGUAAAGCUUUUCCAAGUCGAAGUUCUCUUCAAGUACAUGAAAGAACUCAUACAGGAGAGAAACCCUAUGAUUGCAAUGAAUGUGGUAAAGCCUUUUCAACUCGCAGUCAUCUUCAAAUACACCAAAGAACUCACACUGGAGAGAAACCCUAUGAUUGCAAUGAAUGUGGUAAAGCAUUUGCAAGUAAAGGUAAUCUUCAAAUACACCAAAGAACUCAUACAGGAGAGAAACCAUAUUGUUGCAAUGAAUGUGGUAAAGCAUUUGCUACUCACAAUAAUCUUCAAAUACAUGAAAUAAUUCAUACUGGAGAGAAACCCUAUGAAUGUAAUGAAUGUGGUAGAGCCUUUGCAUACAGCAGAGCUCUUGAAGCACAUGAGAAAACUCAUACUGGAGAGAAACCCUAUGAGUGUAACCAAUGCAGCAAAGCCUUUGCAAGCCAUGCUAGUCUUCGAAAUCAUCUAAAACAUCAUACUGGAGAGAAACUCUUUGUAUGUACACAAUGUGGUAAGGCCUUUACGAGUCAGAGUAUCCUUCACAGGCAUGAAAGAACUCACACUGGUGAGAAACCUUAUGAGUGUAAUCAAUGUGGUAAAACCUUUGCACUUCACAGUUAUCUACAAAUACACAAAAGAACUCACACUGGAGAGAAACCCUAUGAAUGUAAUCAGUGUGGUAAAGCCUUUACAAGUCAUGCUAAUCUUCAAAAUCAUGAAAAACAUCAUACUGGAGAAAAACCAUAUGGAUGUAAUCAAUGUGGUAAAGCCUUUGUAUGUAGUAGCAGUCUUCAAAUACAUGAAAGAAGUCACACUGGAGAUAAGCCUUAUGAAUGUCAUCAGUGUGGUAAAGCCUUUACAAGUCGCAGUUAUAUUCAAAUACAUGAAAGAAUUCAUACUGGAGAGAAACCCUAUGGAUGCAAGCAAUGUGGUAAAGCCUUUGCAUAUAGCAGUAGUCUUCAAAUACAUGAAAGAAGUCAUACUAGAGAGAAACUUUAUGAAUGUACUCAUUGUGGUAAAGCUUUUGCAAGUCGCAGUUAUCUUCAAAUACACAAAAGAGUUCAUACUGGAGAGAAACCGUAUGAAUGUAAUCAGUGUGGUGAAGCCUUUGCCAGUCGUGCUAGUCUUCAGAAUCAUGAAAAGCAUCACACUGGAGAGAAACCUUAUGGAUGUAACCAAUGUGGUAAGGUCUUUGCACGUCGCAGUAAUCUUCAAAUACAUGAAAGAAUUCAUACUGGAGAAAAACCCUAUGGAUGUCAGCACUGUGGUAAAGCCUUUGUAUUAAAGCGUGAUCUUCAAAUACAUGAAAGGAUUCAUACUGGAGAAAAACCCUAUGGAUGUAAGCAAUGUGGUAAAGCCUUUGUAUGUAGUAGCAGUCUUAAAAUACAUGAAAGAACUCACACUGGAGAGAAACCUUGUGAAUGUAAUCAGUGUGGUAAAGCCUUUGCAAGUCGAAGUUAUCUUCAAAUACACAAAAGAGUUCAUACUGGAGAGAAACCGUAUGAAUGUAAUCUUUGUGGUAAAGCCUUUGUAAGUCAUAGUUAUCUCCAAGUACACAAAAGGACUCAUACUGGACAGAACCCAAAUGAAUGUAGUCAAUGUGGUAAAGCCUUUGUAAGUCACAGUUACCUUCAGAUACACAAAAGACUUCAUACUGGAGAGAAACCGUAUAGAUGUAAUCAAUGUGGUAAAGCCUUUACAUAUAACCGAGAUCUUCAUAGGCAUGAAAUAAUUCACACUGGAGAGAAACCCUAUGAAUGUAAUCAGUGUGGUAAAGCCUUUGCAAGUCGAAGUUAUCUUCAAAUACACAAAAGAAUUCAUACUGGAGUGAAACCAUAAGAAUGUACUCAAUGUGGUAAAGCCUUUAUUUGCAUAUCAUAUUAGCUUUUGUGAUCACAAAAAAAUUUUGUACUGGAUAGGAUUAUGGAUGUAAUUGAUGCAAUACAAGUUUGACUCAUCAGUAUAAUCUUGGAACACAUCCUAGACGUAGUAUUUGAGAAAAGUCAAUGUCAUAAUGCCUCUGCAUGUCAUAGUCUUCUUCAAAAUUGUGAAAGCAUUCCUACUGGGAAUAAUCACUGUGAAUCUAAUAGAUGCCCUGAAGCCUGCACACCAAGCACAUUUGUCCCACUGAGCCAUCUUCUGGUGCUUAUAGAAGAUUAGCAGAACUAUUUCAUCCUUAAAAAAAAUUGUCUUGUUUUCUUAUAAACAUAUUGUCACCCAAGAAAAGAAUACCACAGUAAUUUGAAUAAUAAGACUUAUUUGCAAAUGACAAUUAUAUACUGCCAUCCAUUUUUAUGGGUUAGUUUAUCCUGAGGAAUAAAUACUUGUUCUUAACACUUUCUAAGAAACACAAAUGAAUGGCAGAGAAUUGUCAUGUGGGUAAAGGAGGUUGCUGCUAAGCCUGAUGAUCUGAGUUUAUUCUGUGGGAGACGAACAUUACUCAUGCAAGUUUUUCUCUGAUCACUACACUUGUGCUGUGACAUAUGCACACCCACACAGCAGCACAUACAUAAAUAUUUUUAAACUUAAAUAAGCACCAGUCAGGUCACUCACCAGUUGAAGAUACUUGCUGCAAAACUUGACUCUGUGGGUCACCAAGGUAAAAAUUAUUGAACAUGAAAUUAAGAAAACAAAAUAGCCACAGUAUUGAGCACAUAAAUGAUCUACCACUUGUAAUUAAUAUAUUGUUGUAUUCCAAGAGGUGCUUUUGUUCUACAAAGAAUGAUGGUUUAUGCAUAAAUCUUACAUUAUCCUUUCAUUCUCUGAUUCAAAGAUAGGUCAUUGUAAAAACUCCUCAGUUGGGUGUAGAGGUACUUGCCUGUAAUCCCAGCACUUGGUAGAAAGUGAGUUCCAGGAUGAUAUGGUUAUGUGUAGAGACCCUGUCUCAAAAAAAAAAAAAAAUCCAUAAGCCAACCAUCCUACCACUACCACCAUAAACUACAAAAAUC